rnacentral:rRNA from 1 species
GGCGGUCUUUGGUCGUCCGAGUUGUAAUUUAGAGAAGCGUCUUCCGCGCCGGACCGUGCACAAGUCUCCUGGAAUGGAGCAUCAUAGAGGGUGAGAAUCCCGUCUUUGGCAUGGAAACCCCGGGGCUCUGUGAUGCGCUCUCGAAGAGUCGAGUUGUUUGGGAAUGCAGCUCAAAAUGGGUGGUGAACUCCAUCUAAAGCUAAAUAUUGGCGAGAGACCGAUAGCGAACAAGUACCGUGAGGGAAAGAUGAAAAGCACUUUGGAAAGAGAGUGAAACAGUACGUGAAAUUGUUGAAAGGGAAACACUUGAAGUCAGUCGCGUCGACCAAGACUCAGCCUCGCCCUCGGCUUGGCGUACUUCUUGGCUGACGGGCCAGCAUCGAUUUUGUCCCUCGGACAAUGGCAAGGGAAAGGUGGCACCCUUUAUGGGUGUGUUAUAGUCCUCUGUCGCAUACGAGGGGUGGGAUCGAGGAACUCGGCGCAUGCUUAGGAUGCUGGCGUAAUGGCUUUAAAUGACCCGUCUUG